rnacentral:lncRNA from 1 species
UAAUACAAAUAUUAAAAACUUUCCUUAUUAUUCAAACAGUAAACUUGCGCAUGUUGAUAUCAUAUUAAUUACAUUUGCUUAGAAAAUAUUUUAAUGUUUCUAAUUAGUAGGGGUGAGCGUUCGGGUACCCGUUCGGGUUCGGAUCAGGUAUUUUGGAUUUUCGAGUAUUUUGGUAUAGAGGUGUAGAAUCCGUUCGGGUAUUUCUGUACUUCGGGUCGGGUUCAGGUAUUUUUAGUUCG